rnacentral:rRNA from 1 species
UAGGGAAUCUUCCACAAUGGACGAAAGUCUGAUGGAGCAACGCCGCGUGAGCGAAGAAGGUUUUCGGAUCGUAAAGCUCUGUUGUGAGGGAAGAACAAGUACAGGAGUAACUGUCUGUACCUUGACGGUACCUCAUUAGAAAGCCACGGCUAACUACGUGCCAGCAGCCGCGGUAAUAYGUAGGUGGCAAGCGUUGUCCGGAAUUAUUGGGCGUAAAGCGCGCGCAGGCGGCCUUUUAAGUCUGAUGUGAAAGCCCACGGCUUAACCGUGGAAGGUCAUUGGAAACUGAAAGGCUUGAGUACAGAAGAGGAAAGCGGAAUUCCACGUGUAGCGGUGAAAUGCGUAGAGAUGUGGAGGAACACCAGUGGCGAAGGCGGCUUUCUGGUCUGUAACUGACGCUGAGGCGCGAAAGCGUGGGGAGCAAACAGGAUUAGAUACCCUGGUAGUCCACGCCGUAAACGAUGAGUGCUAAGUGUUAGGGGGUUU